CCUACGGGGGGCAGCAGUGGGGAAUAUUGCACAAUGGGGGAAACCCUGAUGCAGCGACGCCGCGUGAGCGAUGAAGUAUUUCGGUAUGUAAAGCUCUAUCAGCAGGGAAGAAGAUGACGGGACCUGACUAAGAAGCCCCGGCUAACUACGGGCAAGCAGCCGCGGUAAUACGUAGGGGGCAAGCGUUAUCCGGAUUUACUGGGUGGAAAGGGCGCGUAGACGGCGAUGCAAGCCAGAUGUGAAAGCCCGGGGCUCAACCCCGGGACUGCAUUUGGAACUGUGUGGCUGGAGUGUCGGAGAGGCAGGCGGAAUUCCUAGUGUAGCGGUGACAUGCGUAGAUAUUAGGAGGAACACCAGUGGCGAAGGCGGCCUGCUGGACGAUGACUGACGUUGAGGCUCGAAAGCGUGGGGAGCAAACAGGAUUAGAUACCCCGGUAGUC
rnacentral:rRNA from 1 species